rnacentral:rRNA from 1 species
AUUGAACGCUGGCGGCAGGCCUAACACAUGCAAGUCGAGCGGAUGACGGGGGCUUGCUCCUUGAUUCAGCGGCGGACGGGUGAGUAAUGCCUAGGAAUCUGCCUGGUAGUGGGGGACAACGUUUCGAAAGGAACGCUAAUACCGCAUACGUCCUACGGGAGAAAGCAGGGGACCUUCGGGCCUUGCGCUAUCAGAUGAGCCUAGGUCGGAUUAGCUAGUUGGUGAGGUAAUGGCUCACCAAGGCGACGAUCCGUAACUGGUCUGAGAGGAUGAUCAGUCACACUGGAACUGAGACACGGUCCAGACUCCUACGGGAGGCAGCAGUGGGGAAUAUUGGACAAUGGGCGAAAGCCUGAUCCAGCCAUGCCGCGUGUGUGAAGAAGGUCUUCGGAUUGUAAAGCACUUUAAGUUGGGAGGAAGGGCAGUAAGUUAAUACCUUGCUGUUUUGACGUUACCAACAGAAUAAGCACCGGCUAACUUCGUGCCAGCCGCCGCAGUAACAC